ensembl:lncRNA
UUUUACUGUUUCGCUGAAGUGAAGCUUAAAUGAAAGACAAAAGCAUAGUGUUCUCAGAUAUGAUUCACCCAGUAUAUUUCCUCUGCACCUGGCUCUCUAUGAGCCGUUUCACUCCCAGGAAGGGGAGAGCAGGACGUUCUUAUCUAUACACUCCCAAAUACAAAGAGGGGCCCAUUCUUCAGAAUCACACACACACACACACUCUGAGAUCAUAAACUUCACACACACACACACACAUACUCUGAAACGCUAUAAAUAAAGAACUGCCACAAAUGCUGGUUGUGAGCCUGAGACAGCAGCGCUCACCCAGCGUGCGCACGUUGUUACCAUCUAAACUGUCUUGAGUGUCUUUAUUUCGCCUGAAGAAUGUCUUGUUUAAAUAUUUACUCCUUACAUUUAUUUGGUCCUUCGAGCCGGAUGAGGACAUUGAAUUUUAACUAAUUUUGUGCUCCAACAGAGUGACCUCGUCGUCUCCUGGAAUCGUGAACCCGCGCUGAAAGUCUGUCCGGACAGCCUGUUUCUAGUGAAACAGUAAAGACCAACUACGUGAAUUCGCCGUUGGCCAGCGUUUUUAGCAAGAGGUCCACGAUCCCAGGGAGCGAGGAGGAUUCUCUCUGACCGGCAUUUUCGUCCGAACCAGCUCAUCAUCAUCAUCACCACACAGUCAUUGUGAGUCUCCUUCAUGGUGAAGAGGAUUCCCAUGGGCCUGUUGUGGAUGUUUGCUUCUUGGUGUGAUCAGCCAUUGUUAGAGAUCAACAAACAUCAACAUCAUCCUGCACUAACAGUAGUAAAGGCUGCAGCCAUUGAACUGGUGGACAGUUCUAAGUAUUUGGUGGUUGUUCUUGAUUAGUUUCUGUCCUUUGAGUCACACUUUGAUGCUACAGUGAAAAAGGUCCAACAGUGACUGUACUUUUUAAAAGAGGUUUUAAUGUUUCAUCUGAAAUGAUCCUUUUAAAUAAAAUUUCUAUUGAAUCUGUUUUAAUGUUUUGCAUCAUUGCUUUGAAUGGUAAUUUGUCUUUGACCAAUAAGACCAGACUUAGUAAACUGGUUAAAGUGGCUGGUCAGUUUUCAGGGAGGACUCAGGUUCAGUUUGUGGACUUUUAUAACAGGCAGGUGCUGAGGAAGGUGACCUGUGUGAUUAUAUGUUCAGACCAUCCUCUCUUUAAUGAUUUUCAGCUGCUUUCCUCAGGUCGUCUGCAGUGAAGACCAAGAGACAUCAAGAGUCUUUUAUAGCUGCUGCUGUUUUCAUGAUCCAGUUUCCCAUUGGGGACAAUAAAGUUUCCAUUGACCAUCAGGCUGUUUAGGAUAUAGGUGAUUCUUUCACAUUUCACUGGUUAUUUUAAGGGAUUAGUUAAUCAGUAACCUGUCACUUGUGAGGCAAAUGUAUUAAUUACUACACAGCUGCUUUAGAUAUGAUGUGAAAAAAAAUAUUAAAAACCUUUAAUGACACAAACAUCACUGUGCAUGACCCAG